CACGUUACGAGGUUUUGGUGCAAAACUUUUAGAGAUGGAGCUUACUGUCAGAGCUGGCUCCAGGUCCCAGCUCACAGAGGACCAACGCUAGCCGGCAGUAAUGUACAAAAGUCUUUAUUGAAGUACAGUUUCCAUUUUCAAGCCGGAGCGCCCCAGCUCUACGUCUAGGGGUUAGAUCGGCGAAGCUCCAUCUGAGUCUCCGCCCCCUGUACACCAGUUUAAGAUUCUAGCCUUACUCCACCUCUUACGUCUCUCCUUUCUCCUCUGGGUCCUGCUACCCCCCGGGGUCCCUUCCUUCCUGGAUUCUUCUGACGCUGACCCCCCUGACUCCUCCCCCUCUUUUCGGCGGGCUUUGGGACCUGGCUCCCUAUCCGGGCUGCCAACUGCGCCGCCCUCCUGUACAUUUGAACUUGGCGCGCGCGCCCAGCCUUCAACCUUCCUCUCGACCGUUUCCUCGCUCCCCGAUGGAGGCGUGGCCAAUCCUGACUCAUGUCCUCCCACUGGCAGUGCGCCGCCUGAUCCCGAUGCCUGGGACUCCUCCCCCCU